rnacentral:rRNA from 1 species
GCGUGCUUAACACAUGCAAGUCGAGCGAACUGAUUAGAAGCUUGCUUCUAUGACGUUAGCGGCGGACGGGUGAGUAACACGUGGGCAACCUGCCUGUAAGACUGGGAUAACUUCGGGAAACCGAAGCUAAUACCGGAUAGGAUCUUCUCCUUCAUGGGAGAUGAUUGAAAGAUGGUUUCGGCUAUCACUUACAGAUGGGCCCGCGGUGCAUUAGCUAGUUGGUGAGGUAACGGCUCACCAAGGCAACGAUGCAUAGCCGACCUGAGAGGGUGAUCGGCCACACUGGGACUGAGACACGGCCCAGACUCCUACGGGAGGCAGCAGUAGGGAAUCUUCCGCAAUGGACGAAAGUCUGACGGAGCAACGCCGCGUGAGUGAUGAAGGCUUUCGGGUCGUAAAACUCUGUUGUUAGGGAAGAACAAGUACGAGAGUAACUGCUCGUACCGACCGUCCAGCAA